rnacentral:rRNA from 1 species
UACGGGGGGGGGCAAGCGUUGUUCGGAAUUACUGGGCGUAAAGGGCUCGUAGGCGGCCAACUAAGUCGGAUGUGAAAUCCCCAGGCUUAACCUGGGAACUGCAUUCGAGACUGAAUAGCUAGGGUACGGUAGAGGGAAGUGGAAUUUCCGGUGUAGCGGUGAAAUGCGUAGAUAUCGGAAGGAACAUCAGUGGCGAAAGCGACUUCCUGGACCAGUACCGACGUUCAGGCACGAAAGCGUGGGGAGCAAACAGG